rnacentral:rRNA from 1 species
GGCGAACGCUGGCGGCAGGCUUAACACAUGCAAGUCGAGCGGGCACUUUCGGGUGUCCGCGGCGGACGGGUGAGUAACGCGUGGGAACGUGCCCUCUGGUUCGGAAUAACUCAGGGAAACUUGAGCUAAUACCGGAUACGCCCUUUUGGGGAAAGGCUUGCUGCCGGAGGAUCGGCCCGCGUCUGAUUAGCUAGUUGGUGAGGUAACGGCUCACCAAGGCGACGAUCAGUAGCUGGUCUGAGAGGAUGAUCAGCCACACUGGGACUGAGACACGGCCCAGACUCCUACGGGAGGCAGCAGUGGGGAAUAUUGGACAAUGGGCGCAAGCCUGAUCCAGCCAUGCCGCGUGAGUGAUGAAGGCCUUAGGGUUGUAAAGCUCUUUUAUCCGGGACGAUAAUGACGGUACCGGAGGAAUAAGCCCCGGCUAACUUCGUG